rnacentral:lncRNA from 1 species
AUUUUAUUAAAGUCUCACUUUUCAUUUAACCUCCAACUACGUCUCCUGGCUCACCACUUUGCUUUGGACGGUAUCCUAUAACUUUUGAAAUUCAUAUUCAGUUUGUCAUCACAGAUUCUGAUAUCAAAUCCCUGUUAACAUUUAUGAGAGCUAGCAUAAGGUUUCAAGUGCUUAUUAACUAACAAAUGUGUUUCUUAUUUUAGAAAAUUUAUGGACUGGCAUUUCAUCAGAAGGGUUCCAAGUGUGCAGAUUUGUAUCCAAAACCAGUCAGAGAUAGAUCCAUGACACGCAUCAACAUUCUGGGACUUCCAGCACAAUCUUGAGCUCAUUCUACAGUCAUAAAGCAUGCACAAUGAUGUGGAACACUACAAAAGCUACAGUAGCAGGUGUAUGAGAUUGGAGCAUUACUCUUAGGCAGCAAAGCUUAUGAGUUAGCUCUGCACACAGGAGACUAUGGCAUCAUAUGGAACGUAAGUGAAAUGCACGGCAUGGGGCUGGAUCCAAAUAGAUGACUUCUGGAGGGAGGAUAACAACAACCCACACAUGUUUUUUUGAGUGUCGUUUUACCUCUCCAGAGUCAAACUGGAAUAACAGCAUAAUCAGUAUCAAAAACAUGAUAACUAUGAACACAGAAGCAGCAAACAUUCUGUUACUGCACCCCCAAGAACAGGCAAAGACAGGAUCGAGUUCUUCUUGAGGAAAAUGCAGAGAAAUAAAAAUAAGCAAGCAAAUAAAUAAAGAAAUAAA